rnacentral:lncRNA from 1 species
GAUUUAUGUAAGGUCAUGGAAAUAGCAUUUCCCAAAUAAAGCAUUUAGCUGAUGGACUUUUAUCUGUACACAUUAGGGUUGUACAAGAGCUGAUCAAUAUAUCCCACUAAGAAAAGGAGAGCAGUGUUAGCCUGGCAAAUUUGAAUCCUGAAGGCAAAUAAGUAAAUACCUCUGGAGAUGAGAGGAGAUAAGGUUGCAGAGGUGAAGAAGAAUAGGACAAAGGACAGAACUGUCAGGAACAGCAGGGCACAGCAUGACGAAGAGGUGAUGGCAAAGGGGAAGACCACUGAGGUUCGAGAACCUGAGCUCAGCACAUAGGCUGCGAAGGAGAGCUGCAAGGAAAAAGGUCUCAGGUAGGGAAUAAAACCCAGGAAGAAUGAGGAUCAAGAACAGAUGACUGUGUCUGGAAGUCAAAAGCUCCCUGUGACCUUCAGAAAACUAGCUCCAGGAACUGGUGGGAAGCAGAAGCCAGCCCGUAAGGACAUGAAGAAGGCUCUUUCUAUGAAACUAGUGCCCAUCACAAACAGGAUGGAACUGAGCACCCACCACACGUCCAGAACACAUGUAAGUGCACAAGCAGAAGUGUCUGUCUACCGAAGCAGGACACAUCAGCAUAGGGCCAGGAAUGAUCUUUUUAGAUAAAAUUAAUUGUAGAAGCAGAGAAAAAGAAUCUAAAAAGACAACAUUGAAAAAAGGAGGUGAGAAACAAGUUUAUUUCCCAAAAUGCAAGAACUGGUGCACCUUUUUAUCUGAUUAUGUAAAAAGAGAAGACUGUGUGAGCAAGGCAAGCAGGGUUCACUGGGGAUACUGCUUUAGAAUUCUACCUUAAAAAAAAUUGAGGCAUUCAUUCUUUUAUAUUAAGAAGAAACUGGAAAGGAUUUUAAGGGAAUAUAUAAGAAUACCAAAAACUCCUUUAAGAAAAAGAAAAAGUUCAAUAAGGAGGAAAUACAGUUGUAACGUGGAUGGGCAUAGAAAAUUAUUUAGGGAAGAGACAAUCAAACGUGUGAGCAAAAACGUAACCAGAACUCACAGAGCUAUUUUGAGAGUGAAAACCAAGUGAAAAAUGUCAAGUAUAAGAUUAUUCUUAUUUGACAUUUUUAUACAGCACCAACUUAUAAAAACAUCAAACAUGGCAUAAUCCUUUCUCUAGCAUUUUAACACGUCAUUAUAGUCUUAACAAGGACAAAUGGCUAUAGCCAUUCAUGUACUUUUUAAUAGAUUACUUUUAUCAUAAAAAUGUCAUUUUAGGAUAAUCUGCAUUCUUACAUUUUUAUGUUCAGCUGUAGUCUUUAAAUGUCAAGUAUAGGAGAUAUCUAGGUCUCCAAUUCUUAGAGUCUUUACUACAGAUCUUGUGAAUAUCAGCAUAAAAACAAGCUUUAAUCUGAUAUGGCUGCUGUACUCAAUUCACCCUUUCUAUAAUUUUUCUCCUUUUAAAAAUAAUUACAAAGUACAUGUAUUAGGUAAAGAUGCGAUGUGGGUUAAAGCCGUAAUAGGCAGGAAAUUCGUAAUGAAGCCCACUUUGAUCCACAUGAAAGUUAUCACAUGUUCAGCCACCCAGGGUCACAUUCCCACAGGCACUACUGUAUAGGAGACAGUUGACCUGCCUGCUCAAUUAGCAAUGAUAGCAACAAUGUAUCAUUUCACUCAGGAGCUCACAUGUGCCAAAUGUCCAACCAGAGUUCUUGACUGUUCCUCUUAAAAGUGGAGAAACAAAGCAAAGAUCAAAGAUCCGGCAACUCAACCACAGAAUGGGAAUUAGAACUCCAAUGAGUCAAUAGUCUAGGGCAGAUAACGGCAAACUUUUUCUGUAAAGGGCCAAAUAGUCAAUGGUUUAGGCUAGAAGGCCACACAGUCUCUGUUACAACUGCUCAAGUCUGAUACUAUAAUGCCAACAGAGACCACACAGAAAUGAGUGGGCAUAGUUGCAUAGCAAUAAAACUUUAUUUACAAAACCA